UGAGCUGGGGGUGGCCGCAGAGACCAGCGAGAAGCGACUGUUUACUAAAAACACAGGUCCGUGCGAAGCCGUAAGGCGAUGUAUACGGACUGACGCCUGCCCGGUGCUGGAACGUUAAGGGGACCGGUUAGUCGAGAUUCGUCUCGGCGAAGCUGAGAACUUAAGCGCCAGUAAACGGCGGUGGUAACUAUAACCAUCCUAAGGUAGCGAAAUUCCUUGUCGGGUAAGUUCCGACCUGCACGAAUGGCGUAACGACUUCUCGACUGUCUCAACCAUAGGCCCGGUGAAAUUGCACUACGAGUAAAGAUGCUCGUUUCGCGCAGCAGGACGGAAAGACCCCGGGACCUUUACUACAGUUUGAUAUUGGUGUUCGGUUCGGCUUGUGUAGGAUAGCUGGGAGACUUUGAACUCUGGACGCCAGUUCAGGGGGAGUCGUCGUUGAAAUACCAGUCUGGUCGUGCUGGAUGUCUAACCUGGGUCCGUGAUCCGGAUCAGGGACAGUGUCUGAUGGGUAGUUUAACUGGGGCGGUUGCCUCCUAAAGAGUAACGGAGGCGCCCAAAGGUUCCCUCAGCCUGGUUGGCAAUCAGGUGUUGAGUGUAAGUGCACAAGGGAGCUUGACUGUGAGACCGACGGGUCGAGCAGGGACGAAAGUCGGGACUAGUGAUCCGGCGGUGGCUUGUGGAAGCGCCGUCGCUCAACGGAUAAAAGGUACCCCGGGGAUAACAGGCUGAUCUUCCCCAAGAGUCCAUAUCGACGGGAUGGUUUGGCACCUCGAUGUCGGCUCGUCGCAUCCUGGGGCUGGAGUCGGUCCCAAGGGUUGGGCUGUUCGCCCAUUAAAGCGGUACGCGAGCUGGGUUUAGAACGUCGUGAGACAGUUCGGUCCCUAUCCGCUGUGCGCGUAGGAGUCUUGAGAAGGGCUGUCCCUAGUACGAGAGGACCGGGACGGACGAACCUCUGGUGUGCCAGUUGUUCUGCCAAGGGCAUGGCUGGUUGGCUACGUUCGGGAGGGAUAACCGCUGAAAGCAUCUAAGCGGGAAGCCUGCUUCGAGAUGAGGACUCCCACCCACUUGAUGGGGUAAGGCUCCCAGUAGACGACUGGGUUGAUAGGCCGGAUCUGGAAGCACGGUAACGUGUGGAGGUGACCGGUACUAAUAGGCCGAGGGCUUGUCCUCAGUUG
rnacentral:rRNA from 2 species